rnacentral:lncRNA from 1 species
AGCCAAAGGUAAUAACGGAACCAGCAUGCAACCUGCCUGCUCUUCCUGGUCUUGAAGUAAGCUCCUCUGGAGUACAUAAUCUGAUAUUAAAUCUUGAUGUUACGAAAAGCUCUGGCCCA